ACACAGCCAGUGUAUAAAAUUGGAAUAAUACAGAGAUUAGCACAACCCCUGCACGAGGAUGACAUGCAAAUUUGUGAAGGGUUCCACAUGUUU
rnacentral:snRNA from 1 species